GACGAACGCUGGCGGCGUGCUUAACACAUGCAAGUCGAACGGUAAGGCCCUUCGGGGUACACGAGUGGCGAACGGGUGAGUAACACGUGGGCGAUCUGCCCUGCACUUCGGGAUAAGCCUGGGAAACUGGGUCUAAUACCGGAUAGGACCACUGCCUGCAUGGGUGGUGGUGGAAAGCUUUUGCGGUGUGGGAUGGGCCCGCGGCCUAUCAGCUUGGUGGUGGGGUGAUGGCCUACCAAGGCGACGACGGGUAGCCGGCCUGAGAGGGUGACCGGCCACACUGGGACUGAGAUACGGCCCAGACUCCUACGGGAGGCAGCAGUGGGGAAUAUUGCACAAUGGGCGCAAGCCUGAUGCAGCGACGCCGUGUGAGGGAUGACGGCCUUCGGGUUGUAAACCUCUUUCAGCACCGACGAAGCGCAAGUGACGGUAGGUGCAGAAGAAGGACCGGCCAACUACGUGCCAGCCGCCGCCGUAA
rnacentral:rRNA from 1 species